UUUUUUCUAACGCGGGAUAAAAUUAGACAAAAAUAUUUAACAAAAUUCAUAAUUGCUCAAUUUGAACUAGUAGAGAGUCAAGGGAUUUUCCAUGCCUAAAACCCUCUGAUUUCAUCACAACUUCUCCAUUUCCUCCAUACAUUUCCAAGCAGUUCUACGUAUCGGAUGGCCACCGCCGCCGCAUCGGCCGCCGCCAGGUCCGUUUUCCGGUCACCAUCUGUCCGCAAUUCCGCUUCCAAAAUAGCAUCCGAAUCGAAAACUGCUCCUUCAUCUUUUCGCGCAGCUUCUAGAAGUGCUCUCUCCAAUCGUAUCUUCAGGUGUCCGGCUGAGAUGAGCGCUUGUGUGGAGUCACUGCAACCAUACCACACAGCCACUGCUUCGGCCUUGAUGACUUCCAUGCUGACUGUCUCAAUGCACAGUUACGGUUGGCUAUCAGAAGGUAUCUAGCAACACCUAUAGGGCCCUCCUUUGAUGUCCUUUUCCUUGUUUUAAGAUUUUGCUCAAAAUGACGAUGUGUGAUGAUUCUUUUGGGGGAGCUGGAGCAAAUAUUACCAGUUUGUUCUUCCUAACGACGUGGUGCCAACUGCCAUGUAAAGAAGUUAUAUGAGAGAAUAGCCAACUGCCGUGGUAUUCUGCAUUUCCAAACAUUGACGAACUGGAUCUUAACCUUUUGGAACACUUGGAGAAAAAUAUCAAUCUUCUUGGAGCUCACUUGAUAUAGCGACGAUAUAUUUUGUAGAUUUUGGAAUCAUUUUAAACUUUCUAUAUCAUGUUUUUGCUACACUAGGAUACUUGAGCUUUUCCUCCCAAUAAAUACCUGUUUCUCAAUCAGUUUGCAUCAGUGGUACAGAUUUUGUUGAAUUAUAACUACUUGUCAAUAAAAACACACUUAACAC